rnacentral:tRNA from 1 species
AGGCGUAGUUCAUUGGUAGAACAUCAGCUUCCCAAGCUGAGGAGGCGGGUUCGAUUCCCGUCGCCUG